GACGAACGCUGGCGGCGUGCUUAACACAUGCAAGUCGAACGAUGAACCCGGAGCUUGCUCCGGUGGAUUAGUGGCGAACGGGUGAGUAACACGUGAGUAACCUGCCCUUGACUCUGGGAUAACUGCGGGAAACUGUAGCUAAUACCGGAUACGACCCUCGGCGGCAUCGCCAGGGGGUGGAAAGAAUUUCGGUCAAGGAUGGACUCGCGGCCAAUCAGCUAGUGGGUCGGGGUAACGGCCCACCAAGGCGACGAUCCGUAGCUGGUCUGAGAGGACGAUCAGCCACACUGGGACUGAGACACGGCCCAGACUCCUACGGGAGGCAGCAGUGGGGAAUCUUGCGCAAUGGGCGAAAGCCUGACGCAGCAACGCCGCGUGGGGGAAGAAGGCCUUCGGGUUGUAAACCUCUUUCAGUAGGGACGAAGCUUCCGGGGCUAAUAGCCUACGGGGUGACGGUACCUACAGAAGAAGCCCCGGCUAAC
rnacentral:rRNA from 1 species